CAAUUUAAUUGUUUGUGCCCAGGUGAUCAUAUUUGAUUCACAUUCAUCACAAUCAACAAUUUAAUUGUCUCUAUGAUCUACAAUUACAAUUAAAUUGGAUCUCAAUGUUUCAACAGAAAUUACUUUUUGUUAUUUGUGACUUCAAGUUAAAUCAUUUUUUGGGAUAAUUAAUUGUGAUUAACCAAUUCUAAUCAAACUAAGGUGAUGAUUAACUGUCCAUGUUAAUUAGUGUUAUUUGUUAGAUCUAAACAACAACUUUCCAUUGGAUUAAUAGUGUAUUUGGAUUUGAAUGUGUAUUAAUUACAUUAAAUUAGUGAAUGAUUUAUAAAUGGGUUCAUGGUUAAUUAUCAUUGUUCAUACAAUUGAUUUGAAGGUUGAGAUAAAAUGAAAGCAACAAUUUACCAGAAUAACUUAACUAACCCAACUAAUCAUAAAUUAAACAGCAAUCUAAUGUAGUAAUCAAGUUAACCAAAAAGCUAGAUUAAUACCCACACAAUCACCACAAUCACCACCUCCACCAUGAUGAUGAUUAUAAACAACAAUACGAAUACACCAACAGAAUCAAAGAAAGUACAAAACAAUCAAAGGAAAUCAAGAAGUAGGAAAAAAACAACAAGAAAACUGGAAACAAUAAUCAUAACAAUUACACACCAACAGUUAACAUUGGAAAUGAUUUCUUAUUAAAUUAACAGAGAGAGAGAGAAGUUAAUUGUCUCUGAUUGUAUUAUCAUGAUUACCAUUACAUUAUCAUCAUGUUUAUUAUAAAGGGUGUAAAGCUAAUGAUAUUUACAGUUAAAUGUGAUUUACAAUCCACUACUUAACUAAUCAGUAUAAUGAUAAUUUCACUUUUUCUAAUGAUGUUAAUAUACAUUAAGUGAUCCAAGAAAUAUAUAAUUUUAUAUAAUAACAAUGCUGAUAAUGGUAAUGAUAAUAACAAUAUUUAAUAAUUAUAAUUGUGGAAUAGCAAAAAAAAAGCUAAACUAACACAGGUAAAUCAUAGGGAAGAGGAAAAAAAACUUAUAAUAUGAUUUACUAUCAAAUCGACAGGUAAAUUUACAUCAGAAAACAAAUCAAUGGGGAAUCUGUUUAAUUUCACAAUUCGAAUCAUAUUCAAAUCCAUUAGGAAUACACAAAAAUGAGUUAAUUGUUGUUAUAAUUGUGUUAAUUUCUCUCUGUUUCUCUCUCACUUUAAUAUUAAACAUUUCUAAUUGUGGAGCCUAAAAAGAUAAACAUACAACAACAAUUACUCUGGAACUGGAUUAAUAAUCGUUAUUCUUGAAUUAUUGUUAUGAUCAAUUGAAUCCUUAUAUUUAUGGAUAUUGAGACGAUGAAGAUAAUAUGAAUUCUGAACAAUUUAAAAAGAUAACAAUUUACCUUGAUUCUUACAAUGAAAGGUAUAUACGUUUUAUUGUUGGAAACUGAAUUUAUAUUUGUUUAGUUUGAAUGGUUUCAACUUCAAUAAUAAUAAUAACCAACAACAAUCAUCUUCAUCUGGCCUCUGAAAAUUUCACAAAGAGUUUCACCAUUGAGCCAUGUAAUAUAAUCUUGACUGAAACAAUGUUAUUUAUCAUGAAAUAACAAUGAUAGAAACGGUUGGAUGAUUUAAUUCAAGUAAAUUCAAAAGGGAAACAUCAUGAAGAUAACAUGGAAACCUCAUUCACCGACAAAUUUUGAGUUCUCCUCAUUUUUUUCCUCUUCUUCUCAUAUCCUUUUCUCUCUCUCUUCCCCUGAAAAUUGAGAUUGGAAGAUAAAAAAGUUCUGAUAAGCAGGAAAAAAAAUUCCUAUUGCAGAUUCAUCAUCAUCAGACAUUAUUAAGAAUUACAUAAAUGACACUUCUUGAUCUUAAUUCAUCUCAUCAUCUUGAUCUCAUUCAUGAUAUUAUCAAAUGAUUCUUACAAUUGACAUGAAGCUUUAUGAUUAACUGGAAUGACAUCUCUCUUCCUCAUUGCUUUGAUAUUUUAAUUAUUGUGGUGAAAUUUCAUUCAUGAUGGUCAAUAUUAUCGGUAUGUUUAUGUUUAUUUUUAUUCAGUUCAAUAUAUGACCAAUUGGAUGAGCUUUCACGAUGAGCUGAUUAGGAAUCUUUUAUCUUAUUUAUUUGUAAACAUUUGAUUAGCUUUUGAAAUUACUAUCGAUUGUACAAUCAUUAUCAUCAUAAUCAUUACAUUAAGUUAACCAUGAGAGUAAUGAACCAAAUGAGAGGUAAAAAAGUUCUUGACCUUAACUGUGAAUGGGUUUUCAUUGCCAAUAAAUGAAUCAAUAGAUUGUAGUGAUUGAGAAACAUGAUUGUAUCAGUAAUGAGUUUUUCAUUCCCUUCUCAUGAUAUAAUCAUCAAUACAUUAUGAAAUGAAAAUCCCCCACUGAAAAACAGUGAACAGAUUAGUUAUCAUCAUUAUCAUCAUCAUUGGUAAACAAUCAGCUAAUAUAUAUUAGUAAAUGAAUCAACCAUCAUCAGCUGUUUCACAUCCAUUGAAUUAACUCCCACAA